UACGAAGGGGGCUAGCGUUGUUCGGAAUUACUGGGCGUAAAGCGCGCGCAGGCGGUUUUCCAAGUCAGGGGUGAAAGCCCAGAGCUCAACUCUGGAACUGCCUUUGAAACUGGAAAACUAGGGUACGGGAGAGGUGAGUGGAAUUCCGAGUGUAGAGGUGAAAUUCGUAGAUAUUCGGAAGAACACCAGUGGCGAAGGCGGCUCACUGGCCCGUUACCGACGCUCAGGCGCGACAGCGUGGGGAGCAAACAGG
rnacentral:misc_RNA from 1 species